CCCCCCGGUACCUGCUUAAUGGGCACUUUCUCUUGCCCCAUCAUCACAGGCAUUGUGGUCAAAAUGGUCCCAUUGCUGCCCACCAGAGUCUAGAACAAGCACAGACACGGGGCAGAGCACACGUCUGAACUGCAG